UAAAUCUCCAAAAUAGCACAUUUCUAAGUUUAUAUCACAAAAAUAGCACUCAAAAACUAAAAUGACCAAAAUACAACAUUUCUAAGUUUUAUCCUUUGAAAAUUUUAUUUUUUUUUAUUUUUCAAAAUUUGAAAUCUUAUGCCCAAAACCUCAUUUCUCAACUCUAAACCCUAAACCCUAAACUCUAAACCCUAAACCCUAAACUCUAAACUCUAAACUCUAAACCCUAAACGCUAAACUCUAAACCCUAAACCCUAAAAUCUAAAC
rnacentral:lncRNA from 1 species